AUUAUUAUUAUAUAUUAUUAUAUUAUAUUAUAUUUACAUAUUAUAUUACUUAUACCAUCAGCUCGAAUAGAAGCCGAAAUUCAUUUAAAUGCUAUCAAUACUCUCACGCGAAAUUCCGUAAAAAUGUAUUUAUACUUAUUUAUUUCGGCUAUAAAUGUUACACGAUCCCAACGAAUUUCUAUGUUAUUGUUAUCGUGUAUCAUUUAUCGGCGUCGAACCGAACGCUCUGUUUCUUGUCGGCAGGAAACUCGCCGGACCGAAUGAGUUCGCUAAAAUAUCACGCGGCGCACUUAUACGACAUCACCGAUGUUCCAUCUUGUUCUACCGUUCCGUCGGCGGCACUCCCGCCAUUUCUCUUCCCCGAGUUUUCCCACUUUCAUCGGUUCCUUUCGAUGAGUCGGCUCGUCGUUCGACGUCUACCCCCACCCCCGCGCAUCGCCUUUUCCCUCUCUCUCUGUCUCAAGCUCUCGAGAGUCGCAAGAAACGGGACGGGAUGGGUCGAGAAAAAGGGCAAAACGGGGGACGGCGGAGAGUCGACACGACGCAGAAAUGUGUAUGUACACCCGUCUGCUACAUGCAUCGGCGUUAGCGCCUGCCGUUCGGCCCGCCUGGACGAUGCACGCACGCACACGAGGCUCUUCCCUGUUUGGCGCAGGGACCGAGAAAGUGUGUGCGCGCCGCUGUCCCUGUCUCUCGCUGUGUCUCUCGGAGGAGAAGAGGAUGGUAAGGUCGACUCGCGCGAUGGAAAAAGAUCGGGUAUGCGAGCUCUGCGGCGCACACGAUCGUCGAACGCGAGUACAUAUGUUGCAAGUUGCAGGGUAUCGUGAAGGAUCAGCAGCGAAAUGAUGCGCGUAAUAAUCGCGAGGAUAAAGUUUCUUUGGUUGACAAAAGUUCGACAAUGAAGAACAAGUCGCGGAACAAAUCGCGUGGAGUCGAAGACGAAUGGUGUUUCAUCGUGAGUCUAGAGAGAUUCGAUCGAGCAAGAUCGGCAAGAAGGACCACGUCCAAGGGAGUCACGCAAGAAAAAGGGACGCGGCGCGGAACGGCGUUGAGAAACGAAUUUUGUGGGUACAUAGUAUCCGUUGCGAUUAAGCGGCGAAGCAAAUCGCCGGCGGCGGGCCCCGUAUCCCAUUCCUUGUACACGACGAUCACGGAUCGGGGAUCCGCAUUGAUGUUGAUACGGGUUCAAACGUGCCGGCCUCGUCGUCGGCAUUUUAAAAAGCGCCGCGCGGCACCGAUACAAUUAAAAAAAGGAGAUCGGCGCGUUGGCGGAAUUUUACACGGGCUGUCGGAAGACCUAAAAAAACGCGAGAAGAAGGAAUGAUACUUUAUGGCUGUCGAUUACGAGCGAGGGCAUAACUCGCGUGUAUUUUUCAAUCGGCGAAACGGCGUAAUAAUAGCCCCCGAACGUGAGAUCGUCGGUUUCGCCGGUUCGUGAUUUACCCCCGCGUGCACGCUUGUGCGCGUUUCGUGCAGCACGGUUGGAAGAAGGACGACGGGAAGAAGGAUAGCAGAAGCGCAGAAGCAACAGGAAAAACCGAACAGCCGUGCCCUUUAUCAGGAAGCAGUUUCGACCACGUUAAAUUAAGUGCGCCUCUGAUGCCGCGAGUCAAGGAGAGAUCUCUCCCGAAGACGGUUCACCGGUGACGAGCUCGAGCCGCAGCACCCAGCGGUCCGUCUAGCGCGCGUCAUGCAUUAUUCAUUGAUCAGGACCAUUCAAGCCCUGCGUUCGGAAAUAGUAAUGCAGUUCACGAACGUCCCAUUACAUUCGUUCGUUUGCUACUUUCGAUUUUGGUACACGAACAAAAAGAGAAAAAGAAAGCACAAGGCAGAACCCAACUGAAAACGCUUGGCGGCAGGAUCGAAGAAAUAUCCAGAAGAAGGAAUUUGCAUGGGAGCCUAAAUAACGCGUUUGGACUUUGUUCUGCGGCUUGACACUGAGCUGCCCAUUAACUUGUCUGCGUCCCCAGACUCUGCUUUAAGUAGCUCGAGAACUCGAAAGAAUCGAAUAGAACCUUUCCUCGGCCCUCAAUGGGCGAGGUUCGCAGGUCCGUAUGACUCGACAAUCCUCUCUGACCCCGCUCUGUUUUUGUUUUUUUUUUGUUUUUAGAACCGUCGGCCGAUCCCACGAGCGGGCAUCAAUUUUUCAAGAGUAACGCUGCGUUCAAGAUCAUUGACACCUGCAGUCACGAUUAAUCAUUCACCGGUUGACCGGAUCUCUUGUCUCUUUCCUGAAAAAAUUGCUACCCGAUCGCUGCGCCUGGAUGCUGCUGACACACUUUUCAGUCGACAAUUCUGCUAGCCAUCGAUGGAUCGCGUAUUUGUCUUCUGCCGUGUUCCGCCAUUUUCCCCAAAACUUGCCAGCAAAAAUGUCUGCGGUAAUCGUGUCACCGGAACAUUAAAACACCUGCAUUAUUUUCUGUCGAUUUUAGACCGUAAGCUAAACGGAAUAUCGAAAGCAAAAAUACCUUGAA